rnacentral:rRNA from 1 species
UACAGAGGUCUCAAGCGUUGUUCGGAUUCAUUGGGCGUAAAGGGUGCGUAGGUGGCGGGGUAAGUCUGGUGUGAAAUCUCGGGGCUCAACCCCGAAACUGCACUGGAUACUGCCUUGCUCGAGUACUGGAGAGGAGAUUGGAAUUUACGGUGUAGCAGUGAAAUGCGUAGAUAUCGUAAGGGAGACCAGUGGCGAAGGCGAAUCUCUGGACAGUUACUGACACUGAGGCACGAAGGCCAGGGGAGCAAACGGG